UACGUAGGGUGCAAGCGUUGUCCGGAAUUAUUGGGCGUAAAGAGCUCGUAGGCGGUCUGUCGCGUCGGCUGUGAAAUCCCGAGGCUCAACCUCGGGUCUGCAGUCGAUACGGGCAAACUAGAGUAUUGCAGGGGAGACUGGAAUUCCUGGUGUAGCGGUGAAAUGCGCAGAUAUCAGGAGGAACACCGGUGGCGAAGGCGGGUCUCUGGGGCCAACUACUGACGCUGAGAAGCGAAAGCAUGGGGAGCGAACAGG
rnacentral:rRNA from 1 species